rnacentral:lncRNA from 1 species
GCAAUGCAUACACAGGAAGGAAAUGGCAGGUUGUUCAUAUGUAGCAAGAUCCACACUUGGCCAAACCUGGGGUCACAGAGAUGGACAUGGAAUUGAGGGCAGAAGAUCUGGGUUGGAGUCCAGCACUGCUUUAGAUUCCAGGCUGUAGCUCACAUGGCUGACCCCACCUGUAAUACCCCACCCUGAGCUACAAGACAUGGGAGCAUUAACAACGAAAGCAAAGGAAACAAUUCCAACUAGAUGGAUGAAUGGGUCAGAGAGGAGGGAGAAAGCUGUGCUCAACAAGAUGCUGGCAGUGUCAGGAGUUGGCCUCAUGCCCUCUGGGUUAAGAGAUAUCGAAUGCUGUUUUGUCAAGAGCUGCUUUCUUGGGCCCCUCCAAGGUUCUCCUUGUUGGGCUCUCCUGCAGAUCCCUUGUCCUGGUAGGUGUACCUCCAUCCCAAGUGACUGCUGGUCACUGCUUCCCCCUACUAAGGUCAAAAGAAACCUAGAGGCUGAACAUACUUCCAAGCACCUGGGCCUCCGUGUCUUCACCAAGGCCUUCCUUUUUGACCCUGCACUUGCUGAUGUCAGCAGCUACUUAAUCAGAAAGAUCAACUCAACAUUUUCCCUUGACCCAAUUAGAUUAUCGAAUCUCCAAUAA